UACGGGGGGGGCAAGCGUUGUUCGGAAUUACUGGGCGUAAAGGGCUCGUAGGCGGCCAACUAAGUCCGACGUGAAAUCCCCAGGCUUAACCUGGGAACUGCGUCGGAUACUGGAUGGCUUGAAUCCGGGAGAGGGAUGCGGAAUUCCAGGUGUAGCGGUGAAAUGCGUAGAUAUCGGGAAGAACACCCGUGGCGAAGGCGGUUCUCUGGGACGGUACUGACGCUGAGACGCGAAAGCGUGGGGAGCGAACAGG
rnacentral:rRNA from 1 species